UCCCUACUUCUAUUCUCCAUUAACAACAACAAUGAGUUCUCUGCAAACACUGACUGCUACAAUGAUUCUGCUAAGUCUGUGUAACGACCCGGUUACGCUAACCGGGUUUGGUUUGUUUAAAUAGAUUUAUAAUUAAACCAAAACCUACAUUCAUUAUUGGUCAUUGCGAAACGGGAUCGUUUGUAUAUGCAUAUUUAUCUCCUUUCUUCACGAAGAAAAGAAAACCUAAAGCUCUACUAUUAUCUCAGCCGCCUUCUCUCUCUUUGCCAUCCACCGACCACAAUAAUCACCACCUCCGCUUCAUCAUCUUAGUGAUACACUCUGCGCUUUAUUCUCCACGCUAACGCCUCAUCUCAUCAUAAGCCACCGGUAGUCAGUUUUUGUGCAUCACCCUAAUCACAUCAUCACUCAUUGGAUCCGAGAAAGAGUAAGGGAAACGAGCAGUCUCACCGCAUGUUACCAAAGUCGCCAUGCUUACCGGAGGAGGGUUAAGAGAUCCUUGCCGCGCCGGAGCUUUUAUCAACUCUCGUCAUUGUCGUUAUCAUAUCCAAGAGAUGUGGAGGAUACACUAUCUAAAUUGGAGCUGCGGCGUUUAACACCAACCACCACCGAUCCGUUCCCCGCGAACCAUCCAUCACCGAAGAGCCACCGCCGUGAUGUCACUACCUUUGCUAGUUCAAGAUCAAUCGCAAGUGCUUUGUGGUUGGUUUAAUAUUGAUCCGAUAAGUGAACGUGAGGAGGAAACGAGCCAAGCCGGAGUCACCGUCUCAACACCGCCGACCACCGUUCUGCACGACCAUGAGUUGUUAGUCAUCGUAGAUGGAGCCCGUGUUGUCGGAGUACGAGAGCCACUAACGUAAACCCGAGCCGUGAUAGGAAACCAUUGUGGACUUAAGGUGUGAAUUAUUUGAGAAUUAAUUCUUGUUAAAUCCUGACCGAAGAAGUUUGUUGGACAAAUCCCGAGUGUUUUCUCAACAUGGCUAAGGUGAGGGUCUAUUCAUUAAAUCCCGUACCAGUGUAGAAUUCUCUCUAUCGUAGUUUAGAUUUCGUAUCAUGAUCUGUCUGUUUGAAUUGAGUCUUGGUUGUUAGUUAGUUCAUUCACUGUAAACUGGAACUAGGAGUCUAGAGGAUGGAUUCAACCGUUGAUUGAUUGCGUGAUGUUAAGAGAAGCGAUAUAUAUAUAUGUAUGUACACAUAGCUAUGAGCUUGGUUUUAAAUGUCGUGUGGCGAGGAUUGGCGAAAGGAGGCUCGACACUCGCCACUCGCCAUGGCGUUUCAUGGCGAUCGCAUCGCGUAUCAGCCGCUCAAAAGUGUAUACAGGUGUAGCGAGGAAAGGCGGUCGACUCUCGUACCUCGCUUAGCAUUGGGGUCCUGAGUCGUUUUGGAGGUCGCCUCAGGUCGCUACUCGCCAUGGCGAGCGAAGCGGUCGCCUUUUAAAACCAAGGCUAUGAGUAGGGACUAUGUGCGCGGGCGGGGGCUCAGAGAUGUCUGGGCUAGCGACGCUACUUUGAUUGUACGGGCAGGGGUUCAGAGACGUCUGGACUUGCAAUGCUACUUUUGCGGGCGUGUGGUGCAGAGAUGUUUGUACCAUGGACGCUACUUGAGAGGGCAGGGAUACAGAGACAUAUUGUACUAUCGACGCUACGUAUUAUAUAUCCAUAUGAGGAGAUGCGGGGGUGUAUGGACUAGCUAUAUGCUAUCAUCGCAUUGUUUGUGUUGUGUUUGUGUGAUGCUUUAGGCGUCUUGUUUGUUCAUGUUAGAGCUAAACUUCCAUAGUGGAAGUUCUAUUACUCAAGUCAGUGGUUUGCGUGUUUAGCAUCUCAUACCUCACGGAGUAACUCCCCUGUUGCUCACCCCUCCUAUUCCUUCCUCUUUCAGAUGAGACUGACGAGCAGGAGUGAUUGCUAUCGGGCUGUUGCUUUGGGUGUUCUAUUUCAUUUCUUUUUCAGACUUGCGGUUUUAUGCUUUUAUCGAUAUUUUCGGAAUUUAUUACGUUACUUGGAUUUAUGGCUAUUUAUUUAAUUUAUGGUGUUUGGAGACAAUUCAUGAAGAUUAAUAAAUGAGGAUUUCACGAUUA